AGACCGUCGCGCAAGCCUGAUGCAGCCAUGCCGCGUGUAUGAUGAAGGCCUUCGGGUUGUAAAGUACUUUCAGCGGGGAGGAAGGCGACGGGGUUAAUAACCCUGUCGAUUGACGUUACCCGCAGAAGAAGCACCGGCUAACUCCGUGCCAGCAGCCGCGGUAAUACGGAGGGUGCAAGCGUUAAUCGGAAUUACUGGGCGUAAAGCGCACGCUGGCGGUCUGUUAAGUCCGAUGUGAAAUCCCCGGGCUUAACCUGGGAACUGCAUUUGAAACUGGCAGGCUUGAGUCUUGUAGAGGGGGGUAGAAUUCCAGGUGUAGCGGUGAAAUGCCUAUAGAUCUGGAGGAAUACCGGUGGCGAACGCGGCCCCCUGGACAAAGACUGACGCUCAGGUGCGAAUUAGUGGGGAGCAAACAGGAUUAGAUACCCUGGUAGUCCACGCCGUAAACGAUGUCGACUUGUAGGUUGUUCCCUUGAGGAGUGGCUUCCGGAGCUAAUGCGUUAAGUCGACCGCCUGGUGAGUACGGCAAU
rnacentral:rRNA from 1 species